rnacentral:rRNA from 1 species
UACGUAGGGGGCAAGCGUUGUCCGGAAUUAUUGGGCGUAAAGCGCGCGCAGGCGGCUAAUUAAGUUCGGUGUUUAAUCCUGGGGCUCAACUCCGGGUCGCACUGGAAACUGGUUGGCUUGAGUACAGAAGAGGAAAGUGGAAUUCCACGUGUAGCGGUGAAAUGCGUAGAGAUGUGGAGGAACACCAGUGGCGAAGGCGACUUUCUGGGCUGUAACUGACGCUGAGGCGCGAAAGCGUGGGGAGCAAACAGG